AACCAUAGAAACCUGCGGAGUACCUGCGGAGGGAUCAUUACAGAGUUGCAAAACUCCCACAAACCAUCGCGAAUCUUACCCGUACGGUUGCCUCGGCGCUGGCGGUCCGGAAGGCCCUCGGGCCCCCGGACCCUCGGGUCCCCCGCUCGCGGGGGGCUGCCCGCCGGAGUGCCGAAACCAAACUCUUGAUAUUUUAUGUCUCUCUGAGUAAACUUUUAACAACGGAUCUCAGAUCGGAAG
rnacentral:misc_RNA from 1 species